rnacentral:rRNA from 1 species
CCACAAUGGGGGAAACCCUGAUGGAGCGACGCCGCGUGCGGGAUGAAGGCCCUAUGGGUUGUAAACCGCUGUUCAGUGGAAAGAACAUCCUCCGGCUGAAUAGGUCGGAGGCCUGACGUUACCACUGCAGAAAGUCCCGGCCAACUCCGUGCCAGCAGCCGCGGUAAUACGGGGGGACGAGCGUUGUCCGGAAUCAUUGGGCGUAAAGGGCGCGUAGGCGGCGAGGAAAGUCGAAUGUGAAAUCUUGCGGCUCAACUGCAAAACUGCGUUCGAAAACUUCCUCGCUUGAGUAUGAGAGAGGUGUGCGGAAUUCCUGGUGUAGCGGUGGAAUGCGUAGAUAUCAGGAGGAACACCGGUGGCGAAGGCGGCACACUGGCUCAAUAC